UACGAAGGGUGCAAGCGUUAAUCGGAAUUACUGGGCGUAAAGCGCACGUAGGUGGUUUGCUAAGUCAGCUGUGAAAUCCCCGGGCUCAACCUGGGCACUGCAGUUGAAACUGGCAAGCUAGAGUAGGGUAGAGGGGUGUGGAAUUCCCGGUGUAGAGGUGAAAUUCGUAGAUAUCGGGAGGAAUACCAGUGGCGAAGGCGCUGACCUGGACGAAGAUUGACGCUGAGGUGCGAAAGCGUGGGGAGCAAACAGG
rnacentral:rRNA from 1 species